rnacentral:rRNA from 1 species
CCUACGGGAGGCAGCAGUGGGGAAUUUUGGACAAUGGGCGAAAGCCUGAUCCAGCCAUUCCGCGUGCAGGAUGAAGGCCCUCGGGUUGUAAACUGCUUUUGUACAGAACGAAAAGGUUUCUAUUAAUACUAGGAGCUCAUGACGGUACUGUAAGAAUAAGCACCGGCUAACUACGUGCCAGCAGCCGCGGUAAUACGUAGGGUGCAAGCGUUAAUCGGAAUUACUGGGCGUAAAGCGUGCGCAGGCGGUUAUAUAAGUCAGAUGUGAAAUCCCCGGGCUCAACCUGGGAACUGCAUUUGAGACUGUAUAGCUAGAGUACGGUAGAGGGGGAUGGAAUUCCGCGUGUAGCAGUGAAAUGCGUAGAUAUGCGGAGGAACACCGAUGGCGAAGGCAAUCCCCUGGACCUGUACUGACGCUCAUGCACGAAAGCGUGGGGAGCAAACAGGAUUAGAUACCCUGGUAGUCCACGCCCUAAACGAUGUCAACUGGUUGUUGGGUCUUAACUGACUCAGUAACGAAGCUAACGCGUGAAGUUGACCGCCUGGGGAUACGGCCGCGAAGGUUGAAAACUCAAAAGUAGUAGUUAGGCGNGAGAGAGACGACGACGACGACGACGGAGGGAGGAGG